rnacentral:misc_RNA from 1 species
GUGCAUCAACAACCAUUACAAGCAGAUCACUACGCUCAACAACUCUCCAAAGCUGUCUCCAGAUAUCCAGGUUUUUUUCAAAAGGGGUGAGAACCAGUUUCUCGUUCUCUUCAAGCCUUGCAAGAUUGCGUCGCCAAGCUAGAAAAGCUUGUCUUUCAUUAAUAUCAAGCUCUUCCACGGACAUUUUAGCAUUCCAUGGGGGCCUGCGUGGAACGCGAAGACUACUAGCAUGCAAAGCCUCCUCUUUCUUCUGCUGCUUCAAUCUUUCUUCAGGUCGCAUAUCACCAGAACUAGAGCCAGAGUCCAGAUUGACGAGAAGAUUAACAGGAGGAUUAAGGUCAGAAUAGAGACGGUGAGCUUCAUCUGUCUGUUCUAUUACAGCUUCUAAAUCAGUAACUUCAGUUACAGAUUCCAGAACCUUCUUAUUAUGAUUCCUAUAAACUCGACCCUUAUCUUUCGAUUGCUGAAUCAUCUGAUUAUGGUGCUUCACCAGUGCCCUACCUAACGAACUUUUCUCCCCUUUACCCAUUACUCCUUUUCUCUUCAAAUUCAAUUAGCUUAACAAAAAAAAAGUGAAAACCCAGUUACAGAAACUAUUUGAGUAUUCAAAGAUUGUGACUUUUCGGUCACCGGAGUCGGUGGUAGAUGACGGCGGUGAAGGU